rnacentral:rRNA from 1 species
UCUCGUAGCUUGCUAUGAGAACAAUUAGUGGCAGACGGGUGAGUAAUGCAUAGGAAUCUACCUAGUAGUAUAGGAUAGCCACUAGAAGUGGUGGGUAAUACUGUAUAAUCCCUGCGGGGGAAAGAUUUAUCGCUACAUGAUGAGCCUAUGUUAGAUUAGCUAGUUGGUGGGGUAAUGGCCUACCAAGGCAGUGAUCUAUAGCUGGUCUGAGAGGAUGAUCAGCCACACUGGAACUGAGACACGGUCCAGACUCCUACGGGAGGCAGCAGUGGGGAAUAUUGGACAAUGGGCGCAAGCCUGAUCCAGCUAUGCCGCGUGAGUGAGGAAGGCCUUAGGGUUGUAAAACUCUUUCAGUGGGGAAGAUAAUGACGGUACCCACAGAAGAAGUCCCGGCAAACUCCGUGCCAGCAGCCGCGGUAAUACGGAGGGGGCAAGCGUUGUUCGGAAUUAUUGGGCGUAAAGGGCAUGUAGGUGGUUUGGUAAGUUAAAGGUGAAAUGCCAGGGCUUAACCCUGGAGCUGCUUUUAAUACUGCCAGACUGGAGUCCGGGAG